CUAAAAGUACAGCAGGCUUUAA
rnacentral:miRNA from 10 species